GAUGAACGCUGACAGAAUGCUUAACACAUCAGCAAUUGAUUGGUGGCGGACGGGUGAGUAACGCGUAAAGAACUUGCCUCACAGGUAGGGACAACAUUUGGAAACGAAUGCUAAUACAUAAUCCUGUGAGAGAGCUUUGCGUCCCAUUAGCUAGUUGGAGAGGUAACGGCUCACCAAGGCGAGGAUGGGGAGCCGUCCUGAGAGGGUGAUCGGCCACAGAGGGACUGAGACGCGGCCCUUACGCCUACGUGAGGCAGGGGUGGGGAAUAGUGGCCAAUGGACCAAAGUCUGAUCCAGCAAUUCUGUGUGCAAGAUGAAGUUUUCGGAAUGUAAAGUGCUUUCAGUUGGGAAGCGGUACCAACAGAAGAAGUGACGGCUAACUACGUGCCAGCAGCCGCGGUAAUAC
rnacentral:rRNA from 1 species